GAGAGUUUGAUCCUGGCUCAGGAUGAACGCUAGCAGAACGCCUAACACAUGCAAGUCGAACGAUCCUUCGGGAUAGUGGCAGACGAGCGAGUAACGCGUACUUAACCUGCCCUCGAGACGAGAACAACUAUGGAGACAUAGCUAAUUCUCGAUAUGCUCACGAUGGUGAAAUCCCAAUGUGAGGAAAGAUUUAUCGCUCGGGGAGGGGGGUGCGUCCUAUCAGGUUGUUGGUGAGGUAACGGCUCACCAAGCCUAUGACGGGUAGCCGGUUUGAGAUGAUGAUCGGCCGCGAUGGGACUGAUACACGGCCCAUACUCCUACGGGAGGCAGCCGUGGGGAAUAUUGCACAGUGGACGAACGUCUGAUGCCGCGAUUCUGCGGUGCAGGAUGAAGCAUUACGGUGUGAAAACUUCUUUUUUGGUAGAAGACGAAUGACGGUAUACCAAGAAUAAGGGACGGCUAACUAUGUGCCAGCAGCCGCGGUAAUACAUAGGUCCCGAGCGUUAUCCGGAUUUACUGGGCGUAAAGUGUCCGUAGCCUGACAUAUAAGUCUGUUUUCAAAUCCUAUGGCUCAACCAUAGACCGGGAAUAGAUACUGUAUGUCUGGAAGUUAAUGGGGGUUAGUGGAAUUUCAGGUGGAGCGGUGAAAUGCGUUGAUAUCUGAAAGAACGCCGAAAGCGAAAGCAGCUAACUACAUUAAACUUGACGGUAAGGGACGAAAGCUUGAGGAGCGAACGGGAUUAGAUACCCCGGUAGUCCAAGCUGUAAAUGAUGCAUGCUAGAUGUUUUGGACCCUCGUGGUCUGGAGUGUCGUAAUCUAACGAGUUAAGCAUGCCGCCUGGGUAGUAUAUUCGCAAGAAUGAAACUCAAAGGGAUAGGCGGGGGAAC
rnacentral:rRNA from 1 species